ACUGAGCCAACGCGAGGGGCCCUGAGGAAGGGUCUGGAAAAGGGGGGGGGCGGUGUGCGACCCCCAAACAAAGAAGGGGGUG
rnacentral:lncRNA from 1 species